GACGAACGCUGGCGGCGUGUUUAACACAUGCAAGUCGAACGGAAAGGCCCUGCUUUUGUGGGGUGCUCGAGUGGCGAACGGGUGAGUAACACGUGAGUAACCUGCCCUUGACUUUGGGAUAACUUCAGGAAACUGGGGCUAAUACCGGAUAGGAGCUCCUGCUGCAUGGUGGGGGUUGGAAAGUUUCGGCGGUUGGGGAUGGACUCGCGGCUUAUCAGCUUGUUGGUGGGGUAGUGGCUUACCAAGGCUUUGACGGGUAGCCGGCCUGAGAGGGUGACCGGCCACAUUGGGACUGAGAUACGGCCCAGACUCCUACGGGAGGCAGCAGUGGGGAAUAUUGCACAAUGGGCGGAAGCCUGAUGCAGCAACGCCGCGUGCGGGAUGACGGCCUUCAGGUUGUAAACCGCUUUCGCCUGUGACGAAGCGUGAGUGACGGUAAUGGGUAAAGAAGCACCGGCUAACUACGUG
rnacentral:rRNA from 1 species